rnacentral:piRNA from 1 species
UACGGAUAAACCAGCAAACUU